UACGUAGGGUGCAAGCGUUGUCCGGAAUUAUUGGGCGUAAAGAGCUCGUAGGUGGCCUGUCGCGUCGGCUGUGAAAACUCGGGGCUCAACUCCGAGCUUGCAGUCGAUACGGGCAGGCUAGAGUUCGGCAGGGGAGACUGGAAUUCCUGGUGUAGCGGUGAAAUGCGCAGAUAUCGGGAGGAACACCCGUAGCGAAGGCGGCACUCUGGGCCGGAACUGACGCUGAGGAGCGAAAGCGUGGGGAGCAAACAGG
rnacentral:rRNA from 1 species